rnacentral:rRNA from 1 species
GAUGAACGCUAGCUACAGGCUUAACACAUGCAAGUCGAGGGGAAACGAUAGAGAAAGCUUGCUUUUUCUAGGCGUCGACCGGCGCACGGGUGAGUAACGCGUAUCCAACCUGCCCAUCACUUGGGGAUAACCUUGCGAAAGUAAGACUAAUACCCAAUGACGUCCAUAGAAGACAUCUGAAAGGGAUUAAAGAUUUAUCGGUGAUGGAUGGGGAUGCGUCUGAUUAGCUUGUUGGCGGGGUAACGGCCCACCAAGGCGACGAUCAGUAGGGGUUCUGAGAGGAAGGUCACCCACAUGGGAACUGGGACACGGUCCAAACUCCUUCGGGAGGCAGCAGUGAGGAAUAUUGGUCAAUGGGCGAGAGCCUGAACCAGCCAAGUAGCGUGCAGGAUGACGGCCCUAUGGGUUGUAAACUGCUUUCAUAAGGGAAUAAAGUGAGACUCGUGAGGCUUUUUGCAUGUACCUUAUGGAUAAGGACCGGCUAAUUCCGUGCCAGCCGCCGCCGUAA